rnacentral:lncRNA from 1 species
CGCGGAACUCCAGGUUGUCGGAUCAAGCUUUGGACUCGUCUCGUAAUGGGCCAAGCCUCCUAGCCCAAGUCCAGCUGUAAGGGUAUAGGGGUUUAUACCCCCACAGAAAGGUUCUGGUAACUCUCGAUUUGGUGGAGACAAGAUACAAAUCUAUCCGGCUUCCGAACAACACGAUCCAAAACCCAGCAAUUUUUUUAUUUUUUUUGAAAUUUUUCUUUUACUUAGGAGUACUAAAGAAGUAACCACAAAAAAUUUGAGCUUAAACAAGUGAAAUACGUGGCCUGCGGAA